UUACGGCCAUAUCAAGUUGAAACACCUGUUCCUGUACGAACACCGAAGUUAAGCCUACAUCGACCCUGGGCAGUACCUAGAUGGGUGACCGCUUGGGAAUACCAGGUGAUGUAA